rnacentral:rRNA from 1 species
GAAAUGGUGUUGGGGAAAUUGAUGGGAUUGAAGGCCAAUAAAUCCCCAGGGCCUGAUAAUCUACAUCCCAGAGUACUUAAGGAAGUGGCCCUAGAAAUAAUGGAUGCAUUGGUGGUCAUCUUCUGAGAUUCUAUAGACUCUGGAACAGUUCCUACAGAUUGGAGGGUAGCUUAUGUAACCCCACUAUUUAAAAAGGGAGGUAGAGAGAAAACAAGGAAUUAUAGACCAGACAGCUUGAUGUCAGUAGUGGGGAAAAUGCCAGAGUCCAUUAUAAAAGAUUAAAUGGCUGAGCAUAUGGAAAGCAAUGGCAGAGUCGGACAGAGUCAGCAUGGGUUUACAAAAGGGAAAUCAUGUUUGACAAAUCUACUGAAAUUUUUUGAGGAUAUAACUAGUAGAGUUGAUGAGGGGGAGCCAGUGGAUGUGGUUUAUUUGGACUUUCAGAAGGCUUUUGACAAAGUCCCACAUAAGAGAUUGCCGCGUAAAAUUAAAGCGCAUGGGAUUGGGGGUAGUGUGUUGAGAUGGAUUUAAAACUGGUUGGCAGACAGGAAACAAAGAGUAGGAAUAAACGGGUCUUUUUCUGAAUGGCAGGCAGUGACUAGUGGGGUAUCGCAGGAAUCGGUGCUGGGACCCCAGCUAUUCACAAUAUAUAUUAAUGAUUUAGAUGAGGGAAUUAAAUGUAAUAUCUCCAAAUUUGCAGAUGACACAAAGCUGGGUGGGAGGGUGAGCUGUGAGGAGGAUGCAGAGAUGCUUCAUUGUGAUUUGGACAAGCUGAGUGAGUGGGCAAAUGCAUGGAAGAUGCAGUAUAAUGUGGAUACUUUGAAAGCAAAACAGGAAGGCAGGUUAUUAUUUGGAUGGCUAUAAAUUGAGACAGGGGAAUGUGCCAUGAGUCCUGGGUGUCCUUGUACACCAGUCGCUGAAGGUAAGCAUGCAGGUGCAGCAGGCAAUAAAGAAGGCAAAAUGGUAUGUUGGCCUUCAUAGCCAGAGGAUUUGAAUAUAGGAACAGGGAUGUCUUGCUGCAAUUGUACAGGGCCUUUGUGAGACCACACCUGGAAUAUUGUGUGCAGCUUUGGUCUCCUUAUCUGAGGAAGGAUGUUCUUGCUAUCAAGGGCAUGCAGCAAAGGCUUACCAGACUGAUACCUGGGAUUGUGGGACUGACAUAUGAGGAGAGAUUGAGUCGCUUAGGAUUAUAUUCACUGAAGUUCAGAAGAAUGAGGGGGGAUCUCAUAGAAAUCUAUAAAAUUCUAACAGGACUAGACAGGGUAGAUGCAGGAAGGAUGUUCCCGAUGGUGGGGGAGUCCAGAACCAGGGGUCACAGUCUGAGGAUACGGGGUAGACCAUUUAGGACUGAGAUGAGGAGAAAUUUCUUCACCCAGAGAGUGGUGAGCCUGUGGAAUUCNAGAAUGAGGGGGGAUCUCAUAGAAAUCUAUAAAAUUCUAACAGGACUAGACAGGGUAGAUGCAGGAAGGAUGUUCCCGAUGAUGGGGGAGUCCAGAACCAGGGGUCACAGUCUGAGGGUAAGGAGUGGACCAUUUAGGACUGAGAUGAGGGGAAAUUUCUUCACCCAGGGAGUGGUGAGCCUGUGGAAUUCGCUACCUCAGAAAGUAGCUGAGGCCAAAACAUUGUAUGUUUGCAAGGAGUUGGAUAUAGCUCUUGUGGCGAAAGGGAUCAAAGGAUAUGGGGAGAAAGUGGGAACAGGCUUUUGAGUUGGAUGAUCAGCCAUGAUCAUAAUGAAUGGUAGAGCAGGCUCGAAGGGCCAAAUGGCCUACUCCUGCUCCUAUUUUCUAUGUUUCUAUGUCACCUGCGGUCCCCCUGUGGUUGUGGCCACUCCUGGAGUUAAUUGACAACGUGGACGAGCCACAUAAAUACUUUCAGAUUGGAUGCUACAAAUUAGUGAAUUUGUACAUAUUAAAUAGCCAAAUGCCUCGUCAUCUAAUUAGUGAGGCGCAUGAAUGGAUGAAUGAGAUUCCCACUGUCCCUACCUACUAUCUAGUGAAACCACAGCCAAGGGAACGGGCUUGGCAGAAUCAACGGGGAAAGAAGACCCUGUUGAGCUUGACUCUAGUCUGGCAUUGUGAAGAAACAUGAGAGGUGUAGAAUAAGUGGAAGGCCUUGGCCACUGGUGAAAUACCACUACUCUUAUUAUUUCUUCACUUACAGGUGAGGCGGGGAGGCGAGCCCCGAGGGGCUCUCGCUUCUGGUUGGAAGUGCCCAGGCGGCCGGGCAUGACCCACUCCGGUACACUGGCAGGUGGGGAGUUUGACUGGGGCGGUACACUGUCACUCCGUAAAGCAGGUGUCCUAAGGUGAGAUCAGGCAGGACAGAAACCUCCCAUGGAGCAGAAGGGCAAAAGCUCGCUUGAUCUUGGUUUUCAGUACGCAUGCAGACCAUGAAAGUGGGGCCUCAUGGUCCUUCUGUCCUUUUGGUUUUUGCCUAGGAGGUGUCAGAAACGUUACUACAGGACGAACUGGCGUGUGGCGGCCAAGCGUUCAUAACAACGUGGCUAUUUGAUCCUUCGAUGUUGGCUCUUCCUAUCAUUGUGAAGCAGAAUUCACCAAGCAUUGGAUUGUUCACCCACUAAUAGGGAAAGUGAGCUGGCUUUAGACCGUCGUGAGACAGGUUAGUUUUACCCUACUGAUGAUGGUUUUGUUGCAAUAGUAAUCCUGCUCAGUGCGAGAGGAACCACAGGUUCAGACAUUUGGUGUAAUGCUUGGCUAAGGAGCCAAUGAUGUGUAGCUACUAUCUGUGGGAUUAUGACUAAACGCCUCUAAAUCAGAAUCUUGCCUAAAAUUAAUGACACCCUAGUGCCGUGGAUCACCUGGGAUAGCUGACUCCGGUCGGAGGGUAGUGCCGCUCGAUUCAGGGCUAGAGCGCAGAUGGAUGGGCGCCGCCUCUCUCCUGUUAACGCACAGCAUGUUCGUGGGGACCCUGGUGCUAAAUUAUUCACAGGCGACCUGUUUCCGGCUCAGGGUUUUGUACAUACCAAUCUGUGUCA